rnacentral:piRNA from 1 species
UUAUUUUCUGAUAUCAGGUUU